CUUGUCAACUGGCACAUGCAUGCAAGAAAUGGUGUCUAAAAAUGUAUGUGUGGGAGGUACGCAACAAAAUAACUUGAAAAGGGACUAAAAAUUUACCACGAGUCACAUGGAAACGUCCACAUGGAACAUUUUACUUU